rnacentral:miRNA from 1 species
UGGUGUGCACGGGAUGGAAUA